GCCUUCAUGGCUCAGUUGUUAAUACUGCUGCAGCACAGCCACUUCAUUGUGGCGUGGUCCAGGGUUCGAUUCCCUGUGGAGGCA